AAAUAGAUUGAUCACUGUCCUCCGUGAUGAUUUCUUGAUCGGAAGCAUUUAAAAAUUAACUACUAAUUAAUGUAUGUCUCAAAUUUUUAACUCUUUAAGAAUAUACAAAAAUCAUCUUUAUUAAUUUUUAGGAUAAAUCAUGGAUACAUAAGUAUGAUUGGAAAGAAAAAGUCUUUUAUUUAUAAUGAAAGUAUUACAAGUACAAAUUUAGGUUU
rnacentral:lncRNA from 1 species